rnacentral:lncRNA from 1 species
CAGGACAGAUGCAGUUUUUUUCAGAUAUUUUGGCCCAAGUUUGAUUAGACAUGAAAGCAAAAGACACGGAUUCAGAGAGGUGAUGCUACACACGGCCACAGGCACACACGUGUGCACACACACAGCCACGCCUGCCUACACACAGCAGAAUCACACGAGUGGGUCCACAGGUGGGUGCACACUCCUGCACUUCGUGGGGUCACAGGUUUCGGGCUGUGCCUCCUCAGGGGCAGAAUCUGUGGAGAACGCUGGCAUGGCUGGCCUGCUUUCCAGGAGCAGGCGUCUCGCCUGCAGCGCCAGGCUCCUCCCCCAGAGCUGACUCUCCUCCCUCAGGGCCGGCCCCUUCCUUCCGCUGUGCUGAGGCAGAGGAGCCGCCCCAAAGCCGGGGUCACCGCAGGCCCAGACCUCCUGGUGCUGUGCAGUCUGGCCUCCGGGGAGCCUUCAGCCUGCUGUCCAUGGCAGCCCCUCACCGUCUUCCCGUCCAUCCCUGCUUGUGUCCCUGUCCUGUGUCAACAGUGGACCGGGACUCUCACUGUCCAGCACUGAGCAGAAGUCCAGGUCACAGGUGCCACAACUGUCCAGCCAAGCCUGGGGAUCCAUCCUGUGGCCAACGAGUUCAAAACCACCUGUGUAACCCUCUUUCUUCGGCCUUUGAAAUGUCCCCUGGGGCCGGGGUUUCCCUCAGUGGUUCGCCGCCUGCCUCUCGAGCACAAGGUCCCGAGUUUGAUUGCCGGUACCAAAAAAAUAAAUAAAAAUGUCCGCUGUCCUCAGCCUCCUGAACAUACUGUGAGCUGGCGCGGCACACACAGCCCCACUGCUACGACACCCCUGCUACACUCAGGAUGUUCGAAGGCUGUCAUUUAGGUUGUGACCCAAACAGGCGCUGGUCACAGUCAUCCUGAGUUUUGCUAAGAAACUCCCAAACCGAAGUCCAGAGCGGCUGUGCCUCUCACCUCCCACCAGCAACUCCCGUCCUUGUGAGUACCUGGCAGUCAUCUCCAUGUGUCAGCCGGUGCUGGACACGUAGCAAUGGCGCAGUGUGGCUGUCACCUGCAGGUCCGUGACGGCUGGACGGGGACAUGCUCUCUGGAUACAGGUCUCCUCUGUCCACUUUCUAAUCAUACUGCCUGGGCAGUUUUACUUAUUGUUUUUACUGUUA